GUGAUCAUCGAAUCUUUGAACGCACCUUGCGCUCCUUGGUAUUCCUUGGAGCAUGCCUGUUUGAGUGUCAUUAAUAUAUCAACCUCUUCAAUCUUUGGCUUGUUGAGUGUUGGAUGUGGGUUUGCUGGUUUCUCUCUUGAGGUCAGCUCCCCUGAAAUGCAUUAGCUGAACAAUUUGUGGACCUUGUUCAUUGGUGUGAUAAUUAUCUACGCUACUGACAACAAAGCAAGCUCAGCUUCUAACAGUCCAUUGACUUGGACAAUGUUUAUAUCAAAUGUGACCUCAAAUCAGGUAGGACUACCCGCUGAACUUAAGCAUAUCAAUAAGCGGAGG
rnacentral:rRNA from 1 species